AGAAUCAACGCUGGCGGCGUGCCUAACACAUGCAAGUCGCACGAGAAAGGGGAGCAAUCCCUGAGUAAAGUGGCGCACGGGUGAGUAACACGUGAAUCAUCUACCUCCGAGUGGGGAAUAACCUAGAGAAAUCUGGGCUAAUACCGCAUAACACUUACGAGUCAAAGCAGCAAUGCGCUUGGAGAGGAGUUCGCGGCCGAUUAGUUAGUUGGCGGGGUAAUGGCCCACCAAGACGAUGAUCGGUAUCCGGCCUGAGAGGGCGCACGGACACACUGGAACUGAAACACGGUCCAGACUCCUACGGAGGCAGCAGUGGGGAAUUUUGCGCAAUGGGGGAAACCCUGACGCAGCAACGCCGCGUGGAGGAUGAAAUAUCUUGGUAUGUAAACUCCUUUCGAUGGGGAAGAUUAUGACGGUACCCAUAGAAGAAGCCCGGCUAACGUUCGUGCCAGCAGCCGC
rnacentral:rRNA from 1 species